rnacentral:rRNA from 1 species
AUUGAACGCUGGCGGCAGGCCUAACACAUGCAAGUCGAGCGGAUGAAGGGAGCUUGCUCCUGGAUUCAGCGGCGGACGGGUGAGUAAUGCCUAGGAAUCUGCCUGGCUGUGGGGGAUAACGUCCGGAAACGGGCGCUAAUACCGCAUACGUCCUGAGGGAGAAAGUGGGGGAUCUUCGGACCUCACGCUAUCAGAUGAGCCUAGGUCGGAUUAGCUAGUUGGUGGGGUAAAGGCCUACCAAGGCGACGAUCCGUAACUGGUCUGAGAGGAUGAUCAGUCACACUGGAACUGAGACACGGUCCAGACUCCUACGGGAGGCAGCAGUGGGGAAUAUUGGACAAUGGGCGAAAGCCUGAUCCAGCCAUGCCGCGUGUGUGAAGAAGGUCUUCGGAUUGUAAAGCACUUUAAGUUGGGAGGAAGAGCAGUAAGUUAAUACCUUGCUGUUUUGACGUUACCAAAAGAAUAAGCACCGGCUAACUUCGUG